AACUUUCAACAACGGAUCUCUUGGCUCUCGCAUCGAUGAAGAACGCAGCGAAAUGCGAUAAGUAAUGUGAAUUGCAGAAUUCAGUGAAUCAUCGAAUCUUUGAACGCACCUUGCGCUCCUUGGUAUUCCGAGGAGCAUGCCUG
rnacentral:rRNA from 1 species